rnacentral:rRNA from 1 species
CGUGUAGGCGGCCUGCCAAGUCGGGUGUGAAAGCCCUCGGCUCAACCGAGGAAUUGCACCCGAUACUGGCGGGCUAGAGUCCGGGAGGGGGUAGCGGAAUUCCCAGCGUAGCGGUGAAAUGCGUAGAUAUUGGGAAGAACACCAGUGGCGAAGGCGGCUACCUGGACCGGAACUGACGCUGAGGCGCGAAAGCUAGGGGAGCGAAUG